rnacentral:lncRNA from 1 species
UUCAUUUCGAAAUUUUUAAUCCAUACACUACACAUAGAACACACGUACAAUUGCUUCUUCAAAACACUCUACUAAAAAGAGAUCCAAAAAACUAGCCAAAACAAUAUAUAUAGAACACAUGUACUAUUGCUUCUUCAAAACACUAUGUUCUCCACUACAAAAAAAGAGAUCCGAAAAUCUAGCCAAUACAAUUAAAUGAAGAACCUGUAUACAUGUACCUGCAAGAACAAAAAACCAGCCAAAUCAUUUAUCAGUCUCCUUCACCAAGUUUGGGGGAUAUUGAACUUGCAUUUGCUCUCUUUGGGGGAAAAAUAAUAAUAAUAAAUAAAUAUAUAUAUAUAUAUAUAUAUAUAUAUAAAUAUAUAUAUAUAUAUAUAUAAAUGAAAUACCGCCUCAUUUAGAGUCGGAAAGUAAUAGCCUUAAAUAGAUAUCCAACAUUAAACGGAAGAAAGAGAGCUAGACUUACAUGUUCAUCAAGAACUUGUGCUAUUUCGAGCAGCUGCAUCACAAAUAAAAAACAGUUUCUGGAUAUAGUUUCCAGAACCGCAAAUAAAUACGGUGGUUCCCAAAUUUCUUUUAUGAAAAGCUACAAGUUGGACGGGAAAAAAAUAUAAUCCAUUGAACUAUAUUUACAACGGCUCUACAGCUCAUCAUCACUCACAAAAAAGAUCUCCAUCAACCAAAGUCACCAACAAUAUUUCAGAAUUUUUUUUCAUUAAGUGUAAAUAUAAAAACUCAAACCAAAAAUAUAUAUCUUCAUAUAGGCCAGGCAGACCAUAUUCUAAGAUUUGACACAAAAAGUCUCGUGGAAAUGAGGCAUCAUUUUUGCAACCAAAGACAAUACCAUUCAACAUUGAAUUGUUUUUAACAAGUCUAAAUGUUGAGGCCUUGCAAGCCAUCAAACUGACCAUAUUAAACCUCCAACAAACACACUUUCUGCAGUAUUAGGCAGAAAAAUAUUCCCAUUCCCUUGCAAGCCAUCAAACUGACCAUAUUAAACCUCCAACAAACACACUUUCUGCAGUAUUAGGCGGAAAAAUAUUCCCAGUCCGACCAAACAAUAAAAUUCUCUUCCCAUAACAAUCCAAAACCGGGGUACUAAAUGAAGAUUAUAAUCUGACACAAUCCCUCAAAAAUGAUAGUGACUCUGUAAUCAAACUAGCGAGGCAAAAUCUCAUAAACAAGAAUUACUGAUUUAUUUAGAUGAAACUCGAUUCUUCCACAGAGCCAACAAAAAGCACAGUUGAUAUGAUCCGAGAUAGGCCGCAAAUUGUCAAGGACUUAACGAAUGUUAACAAGAGGGCAUGACCAAGAUUCGAGUUCAAUUUCGAGCCAACAAGGCCACACAAACACUUAUUCAAGCUAUGUAGUUCAAAAUGUUGAAGUUUGCAAGCCAAAGAUUAAGUUACAUGUUGAACGUGGAAGGUGGAAAGGAGUGGAACAGCCUAGGCCAUCAAGGGACGGAGGAACCUAAAGUGGCUACUAUGCGACCGCAUAGUGGCACAAGCCAUGCGGUCGCAUGGCUCCAACCUGAGAGCAAUUCAACAGCAAGAAGAUGUUCCAUGCGACCGCACAAAAUAACACCAUGCGGUCGCACAGUAUAAAUUCGGGGAAAAAAAAUUUCUUUUCGCACGAGUUUCCUAUCUUCAUUAUAACUCUAGUCUUUUAAUAUUUUUUACCAUAUUUUGAACUUAUUUGUUUUAAGGAUUUCAUAUAAAUAGGAAUUCUUAUUUCCAUUGUACACAACUUUGAUAAUUUUGAGAGAAUUAUACAAGGGACUGUUUUGCUUCCACUUUUCUUGUUCUUCAUUGAACAAAUCAAACUUAUCAAGAAAUUAGUUUCUUGUGGUGUUCACAAAUCGGGGUGAGGUUCAAUCAUUGUGUAAUCAAGAGGUUGAUAAAUUCCACUUUAUUAGUUGCUUGGUUCAUAGUUUUUGGAUUAAUUCCAAACCUUGAAUCUUUGGCAUUCUUGGGAUUGGGUUUCAAUCUAGUUGUGGAUUUCGUAGCCGUCGUUGCUACGUGGGUUCACAUCAGCUGAUAUCAGAGUUUAGGCUCAAAAAUCAAGAUUAUAUCUUUUCUUUUGAUUUUGUUGAGCCUUUUGAUCUUUUUUUCAUUGUUCUUCGCGUUCUUCAUAUUUUUCCAUUUUGUGUGAGUCUGUGAUCCAUAAAAAUCCUGUCAAAAUUCCAAAAGUUUUUUUUGGACUAAUUAAGUAUCCAAAUCAAUUUCCAUUUGUUUUGUUGGUGUUGUAGUCAAGUUUUCUAUCAAAAGAGUCAAAAAAAAGGUAAAAAAAAAAACCGAAAAAAAAAAAAAAAUUGUUGUUUGAUUUAUCAUGAAAAUCUUAAAGCAUUUGGUUGAAAGUAUUAAGCGGAAAAAGGCCGGGUGGUGAGAUCAAUAGAGGGUAAAUGCCAAGAAUUGAGUGAUACACGAGUGAAAUAUAAGUGAGGCAGAAAUAAUUAUAGAAUUUAGGAUGUCUGACAAGGAAUGAUCAAAUUCAAGCAGGAUCGACAAUCAAAUCAACAUGCCUGACGAUGCAGAGGUUUGAGAGAUUGUUAGCAAAAAUGGCUGAUAGAUUGGAUAGGCUUGAUACAUCGAUUACCAAUCUUAGCAGGGGGCAACGAGCUGAAUUACCUAAUGCAAGGAGACCGGGUAGAUCCUACCUAGAUUGGAGAUGCAGGAUAAGUAUGGAUACAGUAGUGAUCUGGAUGAGGAGGCAUUAAUGGAAAAUGAAAUGGGAAGAAUGAGGGAUAGAAGCGAUAGGUUUGAGAGACGGGAUAGGAAUAAUGUUAGUCAUGAAGUGGAUAGAGGCAUGGGCAACAUAAAAAUGUCCAUUCCACCAUUCAAGGGAAGAAGUGAUUUGCAUCUAAAGUGGAGAAAAAGGUAGAGCUGAUUUUAAUUUUUAAGUCAAUCUAUAAAUAAUCACAUUUUUAAGAGAAAAGCAUGUAAUUCAAAUACUUCCUCUCAAAUAGCUACUUUCCCUCUCAUUCCAAGUUUGAGCAUCAAAACUAGUGAAUUAAGGAGGAGAAAAUCUUAGUUAAAUGAGAGGAUUUGUUAAUUCGAUUUUUAUCAUCAACAAUGUGGAAUCUGGAUGAUGAAUGGGGACACUAAAAUAUUUAGUUGAAAGUAGAAAUAGAUUUGAAAUUGGAAAACAAAAAUAUAAUAUAGUAAUCCUGGAUUACAAUUACUUGUCUUUAAGAGAAAAAAAGCAUGUAAAAUCAUUCCAUUAUUCAGUUAUCCAAACUAGCGGGAAUUAACUGCAUCACUAUUCACUACACUUCCCUACUAACACUCUCAGAUGCAUAGACACUUCAAUUAGCCAAUGCAUCACUACCAAACCAGCAGAAAUUAACUGCGUCUACAUCCACAGAUAAACACGCAAUCAGUUUAUAGAUACUUCAAUUUCAAAAUAUUUGAGCCUGUAUUAUUCAAUGUGCAAAUAUGGGACCCAUAAGGUUAUAUAUGCUAUUCAAUACAAUUAAUAAAGAAAAUUUUCUACAAAUCUGUUCUUGUUUAGCACAACUUGCUCUGAUAAAGAAACUUCAACAAAGUGAGGCAAGACAAAAUAAGAUGUAAAUGUAAAUCACCAGACUUCUGGUUCUGAGAGUCUAGAGAUGCAGCAGCGUUAUCAAGAUUGCAUAGAACAAUUGACCGGGCAAAUCCACAGGUUCAUAUCCUCUCUGUCUCCAUACUGGCACAAUAAGUUUGGAGUAAGCAUGAUAAUUAUCAAGCCACUCACUUCUUUUGAUAUAAAUUGAAGGUGUCAACCCCUUGUGGUCAUGAAUCUCGUGUGAUCUUCUUAAUAAGCGAACAGAAAAAUAGAGCAGAAAACCUAAUAAUGUGAAUCAUCCUCUGUUAGACAUCACGUUGUCAAACGACCUCCCGAGCGAAGAUGAAAACCAGUUUUAUCAGUCGACAUGAAUGACUGAACGAUAAAUCAACACCGAAUAAUGGGAUAACCCGACCUAACGUUGUUUUACCUAUUGGAUGGCUAAUAACCUUUGUGGCUUGUUGGUGUGCUAUUGGGCCAUAACCCUAGUCGAGCCUACUUACCAUAUGUAUAACUUACCUUAAGUUUGUCAUUGGACUAUUAUAUAUAUUGGUAACUCUCUUUCUUCCUAUGAGUCCCGUUUUGAUAGAACCCGAGAGAGAGGCAGUCCCUUCUUCUUCUUCGUGCAUCCUAUUGAUUGAUCUUCUCUACUUCUUGCUUGAGUCUUUGUGACCCUUACCUGUGUGGCAUUCAUCCUAAGUGAGUGAGGAAACAACAAGCAAAAGGAGCAAUAGCAACCAUAGGAAAAAAGCACGCCGGCAGUCGGUCCCUUUCGGUUUCUUUGUGUUGAUUCGAUGUUUAAAGGUUAAAUGAGCCCGGAAAUCACCUUGAGCAGCUAGAGGAAGAUCCUAACAUCUGGUAUCAGAGCUUGGUUGGCAAAAAAAAGGGCUCAAAAUCGGUUGAUUUUCGCGUAUUCAACAUAGUACCCGAAUCUGAAAUUCUUCAAUUACUCACAAACCAAAACUCGGUUGGACAAACGGAGGCCAUACCCAUUACCAGCAGGUCGAGGCGCCCCUGGUGAUGCGGCGCGUGGGCGGUGUGGGCGGCACGGCGGCGGCGCAUGGGCGGCAGUCCGGCGAAGCUAUCUUCAGGUAACUUGCUUCUUUCGAUCUCCUGAACGCGCUGAUAUACUUUCUUUUGUGUUUCAGGUUACACAGAAAAAGUUGGACGAUUUUGCCCCUGGUGCGACGCCGCUGAAAUUGAACAGCAAGCUCGUUUUUCUCCACUCUAUGAACUCAGAUAGGUCUACUCUGGUAAAUUGGCUUAAUUCAUUUAAAUUCAGCAAUAGCAAGAUCAUCGUGUGGGGUGAUCAUUAGGUUUUGGGGUUACCGUGAAGGGGUAACCAUUGCUUGUGCUAGAACUAGGAUUACUUGCGUUAAUUGAGUGCUUGUUCUUUUGAUUUAAAGUGCUUGGUAUUUCUUGGUGAACGUAGCGUUUAAGUUCAUUGUUACUUUUGCUAAGAAUUAACAAGAUAUUACCUUAUCACGCUUCCCAAUACUACUUCGUGUGGUUUAAUUAGUGUGUUAACCAAUGAUAACACAUAAUUUUGAUUUGGGAAUAUUUAACGGUAAAGGGGACUUCUCUAUCUGGAAACAAAAGAUAAGAGGCAUAUUAGUCCAACAAAAGGUGUCAAAAGCCAUCAAAGGCAAUUUUGCACCUGACCUCAAAAGAACAAAAAGAGGAAGCCGAUGAGCUUGCCUAUACCUCAAUAAUAUUACACUUGUCUGACGCUGUCUUAAAAAAAGUGGGAAAACUAAAAACCACCAAAGAACUUUGGAAAAGACUAGAAGACUUAUACUUGCUUAAAUCUACACCGAAUAAACUCUACCUACUCGAACGAUUCUUCAGCUUUAAGAUGGAUCCUUCAAAGGAUAUCGACGACAAUUUAGAUGUAUUUAACAAAUUGGUGCAAGAUAUUGUCAAUUGUGACGAAGCCGUGUCUGAGACCUAUAAGGCUAUAAUCUUACUCAAUUCAAUCUCGGACUCUUAUAAAGAAGUUAAAAAUGCCAUUAAGUAUGGUAGGGACACGUUAACACCUGAAAUUGUCGUAGAUUCUCCUAGGAGUAAGGAGAUGGAAAUGAGGGCUGAAAAAUAGGAUAGGAAGAGUGGAGAGUUGAAUAUGAUGCGUGGUAGAACUCAAUUUAGGCAAGUCAGUCAUGAUGGAUACCAAAGUAGUGGCGAAUCAAGUAGUAAUAGUUGGAAAAAGAAUGAGAAUGGUAGACCUAGGUCAAAGUCUAGAACUAAGGCUAGAAAAUGCUAUGGCUGUGGAGGCACAGGGCACUUUAUAAAAGACUGUCAUAAAGAAAAGGGAAAACAAAAGGUUAAGAAAAGAGAUGAGGUAAAUGUGUUAUCCUCUACCUCCGAUACCCAAAACGGCGAAGUCUAUGUGAUUACUAGUCCAGUCGCAUACACUACUGAAUUGAAUCUAACUACUAAUUCUCACAUGCAUGAAUGGAUAUUAGAUUCUGGUGCGUCUUUUCAUGUGACGUCUGAAAAGAACUGGUUUGAAAACUUGCAAGAAUCUAAUGAUGGGCAAGUAGUUCUGUGUGAUAACUUUGCCUAUACAAUUGUUGGAAUUGGAGAUAUAAAGAUAAAAUUUAACACGGGCUUUGUGUACAUGUUAAAGGAAGUUAGAUACAUCCCUGAAUUAUCUAGGAAUUUGAUUUCAGUAGGAAGACUUGAGAAAGACAACUUCACCGGUAAAAUUGGAAACGAUAUGUUUAAAAUGAUGAAGGGUGCGUUAAUCUCUAUUAAGGGAAUCAAGAAAAACGAUAUUUACAUCACUACUGGGGAAGUAAUUAGAGGAUUAAACUCCUCUAUUUCUUCCGCCAAAAUCGAUUACACACAUACGUGGCAUAGUAGGCUUGCACACGUAGGCAUUAAGGGACUUAAGCUACUUAAUGAAAAAGGUGCAUUUGGUAAUGACUGUGUGUCUAACCUAUCGUUCUGUGAUCACUGUGUACUCGGAAAGCACCAUAGAGUUCUGUGAUCACUAGUACGCAUAAGGCUAAAAGCAUGCUUGAAUAUGUGCAUUCUGAUAUGUGGGGUCCUACUAGUAAUCCCCACAUCGGAUGGGAAUAGGUAUUUCCUAUCUAUCAUAGAUGACUACACCGGGAAAGUGUGGGUCUAUCUAUUGAAAGACAAAACUGAAACCUUCCAUAACUUUAACAACUGGAAGAAACAAAUGGAAAACCAAACUAGCAAGAGGAUCAAAUUUUUAAGGACAGAUAACGGCCUAGAAUUCUGUAAUGCUGAAUUCGAUAGGAUGUGUAAAGAAAGUGGAAUAACAAGGCACAAAACGGUUCCUUAUACUCCCCAGCAAAACGGGGUAGCAGAAAGAAUGAAUAGGACCAUACUAGAUAAAGUGCGCUGCAUGAUGUUAAGCUCUGGGAUUCCUAAGUCAUUUUGGGGUGAAGCCGUUGUAACUGCCUGUUAUCUGAUAAAUUUGACUCCAUCGGCUGCAUUAAAUGGUGAUACUCCACAUGAGAAAUGGUCUGGAAAAUUGGGUGACUACUUAAUACUUACAGCGUUUGGCUGUGCUGUUUUCUCUCAUCAAAGUGAGGGAAAAUUAGAACCUAGAGUCAGGAAGUGUGUCUUUCUAGGAUAUCCCGAAGGAGUUAGCCAAAAAGGAGUUAAGAUCAUCGUGAGUAGGGAUGUCACAUUUAAUGAGAGUGAGAUGCCUCGUCUAAGGAACGAAACCGAACCUGUAAGUGAAACUGAAUCAGGUGAAGAAAGAAAUCGGUUUAAGGCCGAGUUAGGAAAAUUUAACACAUCAGUACCUAGUACUUCGAGUGAGGUGGAGAUUCAGGUCCAAGAACUUGAAGAGGAAAAUGAAAUAGUGAUAGAAGAGCAUCCUGAGGAAGAAAAUCCAUUAGCUAACUAUAAUUUAGUUAGAGAUAGAGAGAGAAGACAAACGAGAGAACCUAGGAGGUUCGGGUUUGAAUCUGAAUUGGAUUUUGCAUACGCUAGUUACGAAGAACUAGUUGAUAGGGAGCCGGAAACUUUUGAAGAGGCUAUGAAUAGUGGUCAAUCUAAGGAGUGGCUUAAGGCUAUGAAAGAAGAGAUGAGUUCUCUAGAAAAGAAUCAAACUUGGGAGUUAGUACCGAGACCUAAGAAUAAAUCAAUCGUUGAUUGCAAGUGGGUCUUUAAGGUUAAGGAAGGUACUAGUAGUACAGAACCCUUAAGAUUUAAGGCUAGGUUAGUAGCGAAGGGUUACACACAGAAAGAAGGUGUUGAUUAUAACGAGAUUUUCUCACCAGUUGUCAAGUACACUACUAUUAGGGUCAUGCUCGCAUUGGUUGCACUCUUUGACUGGGAACUUGAACAACUCGAUGUAAAAAUCGUUUUUUUACAUGGAGAGCUUGAUGAACAAAUCUUUAUGAAUCAACCAAAAGGUUUUAAAGACAAAUUAAAACCUGAUUAUGUGUGUUUUCUGAAAAGAUCCCUAUACGGUCUAAAGCAAUCACUUAGACAGUGGUACAAGAGGUUUGAUUCCUUUGUACUCACUAUAGGAUUUCAAAGAAGUAAAUUCGAUCACUACCUAUACUUUCAACACAACGAGACUGAUAACAAUUAUUUGUUCUUGUUGCUCUAUGUGGACGACAUGCUUUUAGUUGGAUCAUCUCCUAAGUGGAUAAACAAUAUAAAAGCAAAUCUUAGUGGAAAAUUUGACAUGAAAGACUUAUGAAAGGCUAAAAGGAUUCUAGGCAUGGAAAUAGAAUGAAAUAGGUCAAAUUUCAUCGCAUUCUUGCAUCAGUCUCCGUACAUAUCAAAGGUGUUGAAAAUGUUUAAUAUGAGUGACUGCAAACCUGUCACGUUGCCUCUUGCAAACCAUUUUGUUUUAUCUAAAGAACAAGCUCCCUGCAAUGAACGUGAAGUGGAAUACAUGAGUAAAAUUUCAUACUCAAAUGUGAUUGGUUCCAUAAUGUAUUUGAUGGUUUACACUAGACCGGACUUAGGAUUCGCUGUUAGUACUCUCAGUAGGUACAUGUCUAAUCCAAGUCCUGAACAUUGGGAGGCAUUAAAGUGACUUUUAAGAUAUUUGAAGGGUACAAGUGACGUAGGUCUAAAAUUUAGUGCUAAUAAGGAAGGCGUGAAAUUAAAGGAUUUUGUAGAUGCUGACUAUGCAGGAGAUAGGGAUGGUAGGAAAUCAACUUCCUCUUACGUAUUCACCUUAUCAAAUUCGUGUGUUAGUUGGAAAUCACAGUUACAACACAUAGUUGCACUAUCCACUACAGAGUCAGAAUAUAUUGCCACCACUGAAGCAAUUAAAGAGGCUCUAUGGCUUAGAGGUCUACUUCAUGAACUGAGUGUCUUGAAUGAGUAUGUGGUUAUGUAUUCUAAUAGUCAGUCAUCCAUACAUCUGUGUAAGAAUCCUGUUUUUCACGAACGCACUAAAUAUAUCGAUGUUAGGUUACACUUCAUUAGGGAUAAGAUAUCACAAGAAGUAGUAAGACUUGAAAAAAUUCACACACAAUAUAAUCCUUCAGAUAUGGGCACGAAAGUGCUGCCACUGGUAAAGUUUAAAAGUUGCAAGGAGCUUCUAAACAUCGGUACAGGUAAAUGAUUUCCAAUUUUAUCGGUUUUCUGUUAGAGGUCUCACUAAUGGAAAACGUUUUUCUUUGCAGGUCCUUUGACACCAAGGUGGAGGUUGUUAGACAUCAUGUUGUCAAACGACCUCCCGGGCGAUGAUGAAAACCAGUUUUAUCAGUCGACAUGAAUGACUGAACGAUAAAUCAACACCGAAUAAUGAGAUGACCCGACCUAACGUUGUUUUACCUAUUGGAUGGCUAAUAACCUUUGUGGUUUGUUGGUGUGCUAUUGGGCCAUAACCCUAGUCGAGCCUACUUACCAUAUGUAUAACUUACCUUAAGUUUGUCAUUGGACUAUUAUAUAUAUUGGUAACUCUCUUUCUUCCUAUGAGUCUCGUUUUGAUAGAACCCGAGAGAGAGGCAGUCCCUUCUUCUUCUUCGUGCAUCCUAUUGAUUGAUCUUCUCUACUUCUUGCUUGAGUCAUUGUGACCCUUACCUGUGUGGCAUUCAUCCUAAGUGAGUGAGGAAACAACAAGCAAAAGGAGCAAUAGCAACCAUAGGAAGAAAGCACGCCGGCGGUCGGUCCCUUUUGGUUUCUUGGUGUUGAUUCGAUGUUUAAAGGUUAACUGAGCCCGGAAAUCACCUUG